UCCCUGGUGGUGCAGUGGCUAAGACUCUGCACUCCCAAUGCAGUGGGCUUGGGUAUGAUUCCUGGUCAGGGAA
rnacentral:tRNA from 1 species